rnacentral:SRP_RNA from 1 species
GCCGGGCGCGGUGGUGGGCGCCUGUAGUCCCAGCUACUGGGAGGCUGAGGCAGGAGAAUGGCGUGAACCCGGGAGGCGGAGCUUGCAGUGAGCUGAGAUCCGGCCACUGCACUCCAGCCCGGGCGACAGAGCGAGAUUCUGUCUCAA